UAAACAAACUCAAGUCAUGAAAGGCAUUCACACGAGAAACCCGCUUCUGAGGAAGAGAAGCCAAGAGAGGCUGAUGGGUCUCCAGGGGCUGCUGGCCUGGGGACCAGCCCCUCCAGCUGGGGACCCCAAGCUCCGAACCCACAGCCUCACUUUCUCCCGUCAAACUCAGGUCCUGCGCUUCCCAGCUCUGUGGCCUUGGCGAGUGACUCCCCUCCUGGUGCCUGAGCCCCCUGCGUGGUGUCAGGCCCCUUAGUGAGACAGUGGCUGGCAAGGGCUAGCGCGUGUGGGCCGCCGGCGCUGCUGUUUUGGUCGUAGCCCGUUGCCAGCCCCUUCCAAGGGCUCAAGGUGUGGGCAAGCUGAGUGGCCCAUGUGGGUCCUAGCUGGCUCCUUGUCUGUGGCCUUUCACAGAGCCUCCGGGGGCUUCUCUUCCCUCCGUGUUCCAGGGUCAGGGCUUCUCCAUGCCCAGACCACUGGGGACUGGGGUGACAAGAGCCUGCUGCUGCUGCUGACUGUCUCUCGGCUGUCCCAGGUCCGUGCCACUGCCUGGAUGGAGAUGAGCAGAACUUGCUCCCAGGUGCAAGCUGCUGACACCGCAGCCUGGUUUCUGGAAAGGGUGGAGCAGUACCCACCCUGGCUCUCCUCUGUGCUGGGCUCACCGACAGGCCUCAGGGCCAGGCUCUGGGAUCAGCCCGAGCUGGGGUCCCUGCCAGCCAGGAGGGCAGGCCAGACCACUGUGGCGUCCGUGUCGCCAUGGGGUGGCUGUGGGUCAUCACCAUUCUGGGCUUGGCUUCUCCUCUGAAAGUCCAGCCUGCCCUGUUGGCCCUACAGGAGGAAGAUAGAGUGGGAACUGGGGGGAAAUGCUGCUGACUGGGGCAGUGGGAGGGUAAGUUCACCCCUUCUCCUCUGCGACAUCCCCGCACAUGCCUCCCUGUCCUCUGUGCCAGGCCUGUGCUGGCUACGUGACACGUGUUCUCUUUGGCCGAUUCUGCCCCCCACAAGGCCCUCAGGUCUCCUCCCCAUGUUCAUAGGACACUGAGACUUGAUGGCUUGAGCAACAUGACAAGGGCCGUGCAGUUAGCAAGUGGAGAAGCUGGGAUUUGAACCCAAGCUCAUGGCUUUAGAGCCGGGACUCCUCCCAGCACACGCAUGUUGCAGAUGGAGGAGAACCUCGGAUCUCCCGGAGUGCGGGGCCUGAGCUGCAGCCAGAGCUCCUGUGAGCCAGCUGGAGAAUGCGCGUGCAACGGUCCUUGUAAGAGAACGCGUGUAAAAUGCUGUUCUAUCCCGUCUGUGGCAACUGUUGAUGGCUCGCCGGCAGCCCUGGAUGGCGACUGCGCGACCUUACCGACCACCUUGCCGCUGUCCCUUGUGCGGAUAAAACGACUCGCUAACGAACACGGGCCUCUUGGGGCUCAGCUGUUGACUUCCUCACUGCCCUCGCUGUCUGGAUGGGGUGCUUCGUGUGGCGGGGGGCCCUGGCUUGUUCACCCAUGGGUCCCAGCGCCCCAUACGGGUUGAAUGACUGCAGGAGGAAACCACUCUCAUUCAGCAGAUCUUGUACAGGAUUUCGUUGUUUGACCCUCAAAUAUUGACAGAGAGGGAAAGUGUGCUAAAAUAGUUACGUUAUCUUUGUAUUGACUUUGAUAGUUGUCAAACCACUGUGAAUAAAUCUAAAAAACAACCAAUGGGACCUAGAAAAAGAAAAA